rnacentral:rRNA from 1 species
CCUAGUUGAUCCUGGGAGUAGUCAUAUGCUUGUCUCAAAGAUUAAACCAUGCAUAUGUAAGUAUGAACAAAUUCAGACUGUGAAACUGCGGAUGGCUUAUUAAAUCAGUUAUAGUUUGUUUGAUGGUACCUACUACUCAAAUAACCGUAGUAAUUCUAGAGCUCAUAUAUGCAACAAACCCUAACUUUUAGAAGGGAUGCAUUUAUUAGAUAAAUGGUCGACGCAGGCUCUGCAUUGCUGCGAUGAUUUAUGAUAACUCGAUGGAUUGUAUGACCAUCAUGCCAGCGUCGCAUAAUUUGAAUUUCUGCCCUAUCAACUUUCGAUGGUAGGAUUGUGGCCUACCAUGGUGGUGACAGGUGAGGGAGAAUUAGGGUUUGAUUUGGAAGAGGGAGCCUGAGAAAUGGCUACCACAUACAAGGAAGGCAACAGACGCGCAAAUUACCCAAUCCUGACAUGGGGACAAAGUGACAAUAAAUAACAAUACCAGGGUCUAUGAGUCUGGUAGUUGGAAUGAGUACAAUCUAAAUCCUUUAACAAGGAUCUAUUGAAGGGCAAGUCUGGUGCUAGCAGCCGCAGUAAUUCUAGUUUCAAUAGCAUAAAUUUAAGUUGUUGCAGUUAAAAAGCUAGUAGUUGGACUAUGGGAUGGGUCGCCAGUCCACCCUAGGUGUGAACCGAUCGUCUCGUCUCUUCUGUCGAUGAUGCGCUCCUAGCCUUAAUUAUCCAAGUCGUGCCUCCAGCACUGUUACUUUGAAGAAACUAGAGUGCUCAAAGCAAUCCUACACUCUGUAUACAUUAGCAUGGGAUAACAUUAUAGGAUUUUGGUCCUAUUACGUUAGCUUUCGGGAUCGGAGUAAUGAUUAACAGAGACAGUCGGUGGCAUUCGUAUAUCAUAGUCAGAGGUAAAAUUCUUUGAUUUAUGAAAGAUGAACAACUGCAAAGCAUUUGCCAAGGAUGUUUUCAUUAAUCAAGAAUGAAAGUUGGGGGCUCAAAGACGAUCAGAUACCAUCCUAGUCUCAACCAUAAAUAAUGUCGACCAGGGAUCGGCGGAUGUUGCUUUUAGGACUCCACCGGCACCUUAUAAGAAAUCAAAGUUUUUGGGUUCCGGGGGGAGUAUGGUCACAAGGCUAAAGAUUAAAGGAAUUGAUGGAAGGGAACCACUAGGAGUGAAGCCUGUGGCUUUAUUUGACUCAACACAGGGAAACUUACCAGGUCCAGGCAUAGUAAGGAUUGACAGACUGAGAGCUCUUUCUUGAUUCUAUGAGUGGUGUUGCAUGGCCAUUCUUAGUUGGUGGAGCAAUUUGUUUGGUUAAUUUCAUUAACGAAUGAGACCUCAGCCUGCUAACUAGCUUUGUGGAGGUAUCCCUUCGUGGCCAGCUUCUUAGAGGGACUAAGGCCUUUUAGGCCACAAAAGUUUGAGGCAAUAAUAGGUCUGUGAUUCCCUUAGAUGUUCUGGGCCGCACACGCACUAUACAGAUGUAUUCAAUGAGUUUAUAGCCUUGGCCAACAGGCCCGAGUAAUUUUUGAAAUUUAAUUGUGAUAGGGAUAGAUCAUUGUAAUUGUUGGUCUUCAACUAGGAACUCCUAGUAAGCGUGAGUCAUCAGCUCGCAUUGACUACGUCCCUACCCUUUGUACACACCGCCCAUUACUCUUACUGAUUGAAUAAUCUGGUGAAAUAUUCAGAUCGCGGCAACGUGGGAGGUUUGGCGCAAAUUUAGGCUCAUCCAAAGUUGGUUUCCUGUGCUGCAUACCUAAUGCCCAGGACAUGUCGC